rnacentral:misc_RNA from 1 species
GAUGAAGAACGUAGCGAAAUGCGAUAAGUAAUGAGAAUUGCAGAAUUCAGUGAAUCAUCGAAUCUUUGAACGCACAUUGCGCCCCCUGGUAUUCCGGGGGGCAUGCCUGUUCGAGCGUCAUUUCACCACUCAAGCCUCGCUUGGUAUUGGGCAACGCGGUCCGCCGCGUGCCUCAAAUCGACCGGCUGGGUCUUCUGUCCCCUAAGCGUUGUGGAAACUAUUCGCUAAAGGGUGCUCGGGAGGCUACGCCAUAAAACAAACCCAUUUCUAAGGUUGACCUCGGAUCAGGUAGGGAUACCCGCUGAACUUAAGCAUAUCAAUAAGCGGAGGA